UGUACCCCCCUUUUUCCCCUUUCUCUCUCUCUCUGCUUCGUCGUUUCUUCCUCCACUUCCUUCUACAACGACAAAACACAAAACCUACCCCUUAACUCUCCUCUUUUCCUUCUUCUUUGAAGAGUCCUUCUCACUUUCUCCCACCAAACAAAUUAAACGCUCCCUCUUUUCUUCUUCUUCUUCUCUAUUUUUUUCCCAAUUUAGAAUGCCCACUUGGUGGAGUAAAAAGUCCAGCAAGUCCAAGCAGCAGCAAGAACUGCAGCAGCCACAUCAGCAUGGAGGACGAGGAGUUCGUCAAUUCACCUUCACCAGAUCAAACAACAACGUUUCUUCUUCUCUUUCACCUCCCAGUAAGGCCAAAUCCGACAAGCCCAAUCACAGCUUCGACGAAACCCUCUCCCGCAACUCACCAAGGGUCAGCAGAGACUUCUCUUCUACCCCCGCCGUAGCUUCCUCCGCCGCCGCCGCCGCCGCCGGAGGCUCAUCCUCCGGAUUCUCAUGCUUGGAUUCCGACGGCGACAAGAGAGGCCACCCCUUGCCUCGCCCCUCUGUCUCCUCCACCCAAAGCUUCGGCAACGACCAAGGCCUUGGAUCUGCCUCCGUCUCUGGUUCCAGCGUUAGUUCCACGGGCUCUGAUGAUCAACAAUCCACCCUUCGAUACACUCGUAUAGAUGCAACCAGAGGACAAAGUGACAUAAAGUUCAAUGCAAGGUCAAAAAGCCCGGGUCCUGGUUCAAGAGGGCCCACCAGCCCUACAUCACCGCUUCAUCCGAGGUUGCAUGUUUUGAGUCUUGACUCCCCUACAUGCAGGCAAGAAGAUGGAAAGAGUGAGUGUCAUCCGUUGCCUCUUCCGCCGGGUUCUCCGACUAGUCCUUCUUCUCUUUCCAAUUCCAACACAAAACCAAAUGGACUUCCAGAAAACACCACAUGUAAUCCAUCCAAGUGGAAGAAAGGAAAGCUGCUAGGACGGGGUACAUUUGGGCAUGUAUAUGCUGGAUUCAAUAGUGAAAAUGGACAAAUGUGUGCAAUAAAAGAAGUCAGGGUUGUUUGUGAUGAUCAAACAUCAAAAGAGUGCUACAAACAACUUAAUCAGGAGAUACUCUUGCUUAGUCAGCUUUCACAUCCGAAUAUUGUUCAAUACUAUGGGAGUGACUUGGGAGAAGAAACACUUUCAGUUUAUUUAGAAUAUGUUUCCGGUGGUUCGAUUCAUAAAUUACUUCAGGAAUAUGGGGCCUUUAAGGAGCCUGUUAUUCAAAAUUAUACUAGGCAGAUUGUCUCUGGACUUGCCUAUCUUCAUGGUAGAAAUACAGUGCACAGGGAUAUCAAGGGGGCUAACAUACUAGUUGAUCCAAAUGGUGAAAUCAAGCUGGCAGACUUUGGAAUGGCUAAACAUAUAAAUGCUUCUUCCUCAAUGCUUUCUUUCAAAGGAAGUCCAUACUGGAUGGCCCCUGAGGUUGUAAUGAAUACAAAUGGCUAUAGUCUUCCUGUUGAUAUAUGGAGCUUGGGAUGCACAAUUCUUGAAAUGGCGACAUCGAAGCCUCCUUGGAGUCAAUAUGAAGGGGUAGCAGCAAUAUUCAAAAUUGGUAACAGCAAAGAUAUGCCUGAACUUCCUGAGCAUCUGUCGAAUGAGGCAAAGAACUUCAUCCAGUUAUGCUUACAAAGAGAUCCAUUGGCUCGCCCAACAGCUCAAAUGCUGCUAGAUCACCCAUUUAUUCGAGAUCAGUCGGCAACAAGAGCUGCAAAUGUCAGCAUAACCAGGAGUGCUUUCCCCUAUAUGCUUGAUGGGAGCCGGACACCGCCACCUGAGAUUUUUUCAAAUAAAAUAAAUGCAACUUCAUUUGAUGGAGACUAUGCAACAAGGGCAGCCCCUCCAGCCUCGCGGGCUGUAAGGAACCAAAGAGAUAACUCAAGAAUGAUCACAUCAUUACCCGUAUCUCCUUGUUCAAGUCCAUUGCGGCAGUAUGGAUCAGCACACAAGAGCUGUUUCCUUUCACCUCCUCAUCCAACUUGCACAUUGAUGGGACAAAAUACCCUCCCGUCAUAUCCGUUGAGAUCGAAUGCCGCCUUCACUCUUGAUCCUUGGCACGAAACAUCUCCAUACAGAUCCCACCACACACCUGGUGGAUCCCCAAGAUCGAGACUCAUUUGAGUUGCCACCAUUGUAAAUUCCGCUAAAAUCUUCCAGUGUUUUCCCCAGCAUGCAUUGUGACCUCUGGUUGAACUUCAAUCUCUACAAAAGCAAACUUUUUCCAUAAAAAUAUUCGGGUCCAUUUUCACUACUGAUGAGGUGAAGGAUAUAAGAAGGAGAACUCAAUGCAAGUUCCGAAGGACAACGCGUUCCCUAACGAUUGGAAAUUGACCAAGCGGACCUCAAACACCUAAGAAAAUGGUUAUGGCAGCCCCUGCGACCGUUUGGGAGAUGGUGGAGUGCUAACCUGUCAAUUUCUCAGUCACGUGGAUUUUUUUCCUACCAAAUUGGGACAAAUUGACCCCUUCCUAACGUACAACACGUCAUCCUUGUCUCAACCUCCUUUAAAUUAGGGUUUGGGUCUUCGUUGUAGCCAUAGUUGGAGAACGUGUAUUCUGCAAGUCAUGGCUGAUGAAGAUGAGGGUUCUUACUCAAUGACGCAGAAACGAAAUGGAAGCCCAAGCGCGCAGCGAGGGUUUGAAUGCGAUGUUGGCUUGAUUGAGAGCUUCAGGAGAGGGGCGAAUAGGAGGAAGAAAGAAUUUACAGCACCUACCUGUAACUGCGAAAUAUAUGCCAUCUUAUUAGAGUUAAGUACCAUGGACAACCCAAACAAACUUUUUCGAAUGCUCCUAUUUUAAGGUAAUUUCGGUUUGAUUUUGGACCUAUUCUGCUAAUGGUUAUUUAUGUCAAUUUCUUUCUUUUCACUCUCAGCAAGUAAAUGUAUUUUUACAUACCAAAGCUCCUCUUUGCAAAUUCUUUGCUUGGUUGGACAAAUAUGUGACAUCUUUUCAUGGUAAAGAUAUAACGAGUUCUAAUGAAUUGGUGGAUCAAAUGAAGAGAUUGGAAGAGAAGUUGUGAUCUCAGGAGAUGUUGAUGGAAAAGGACAUAGUAGGGAUAAAAUCUCAUGGUAGCACUAAAUGCAGGACUAUUUCCACAUUGAUGUUUGGAAUUGUAUUGACAUUGUCAUUUUUGGCUUUAUUUAGUGCAUUGUAUGCUUGAAUAAUUGUACUUAUGGUGUAAGAAAUAGGUUAGGAUAUCAAAUUAGAGUUGUGUGAUGGACCUGUUUUGUGGAGAAAUGUGAGUUUAUGUGAAAUAUGCAUUUUGCAAAUUGAAAAUAAAAA